rnacentral:rRNA from 1 species
UACGUAGGGACCAAGCGUUGUUCGGAUUUACUGGGCGUAAAGGGCGCGUAGGCGGCGCGGUAAGUCACUUGUGAAAUCUCUGAGCUUAACUCAGAACGGCCAAGUGAUACUGCAGUGCUAGAGUGUGGAAGGGGCAAUCGGAAUUCUUGGUGUAGCGGUGAAAUGCGUAGAUAUCGGGAGGAACACCAAUUGCGAAGGCAGCUCGCUGGGACGUCACUGACGCUGAGACGCGAAAGCGUGGGGAGCAAACAGG